CACGUAGGGCGCAAGCGUUGUCCGGAAUUAUUGGGCGUAAAGAGCUCGUAGGCGGUCUGUUGCGUCCGCUGUGAAAACCCGGGGCUUAACCCCUGGCUUGCAGUGGGUACGGGCAGGCUAGAGUGUGGUAGGGGAGACUGGAAUUCCUGGUGUAGCGGUGGAAUGCGCAGAUAUCAGGAGGAACACCGAUGGCGAAGGCAGGUCUCUGGGCCACUACUGACGCUGAGAAGCGAAAGCAUGGGGAGCGAACAGG
rnacentral:rRNA from 1 species